CCAAUACUCCCACCGUCUGGAAAUACUUGUUGGAGAAAUUGAUGUAUCUAGACAUGUUUUAGUUAUAGAUACAUCUAUUUUUAUUCAUUUCUGCGAUAAGUAAUUUCGGGCGAAGGGAGUACUAG
rnacentral:pre_miRNA from 1 species